rnacentral:rRNA from 1 species
UACGUAGGUGGCGAGCGUUGUCCGGAUUUAUUGGGCGUAAAGCGCGCGCAGGCGGUCCGUUACGUCCGUUGUGAAAGCUCCCGGCUCAACUGGGAGAGGUCUUCGGAUACGGGCGGACUCGAGGAAGGUAGAGGAAGGUGGAAUUCCCGGUGUAGUGGUGAAAUGCGUAGAGAUCGGGAGGAACACCAGUGGCGAAGGCGGCCUUCUGGGCCUUUCCUGACGCUGAGGCGCGAAAGCGUGGGGAGCGAACGGG